UCUUCUCGGUCUCGCUUUCUCUGGCCGAUUCUCGGUCAAGGAGAAACCACAUCUCGCCACCGGCCACCACAUUUCCAGUUCCGGUCGUCUUCUCCAGCCAAAAAUUUCAAGCCGAGUCUCUCUCUCUCGUUUUUCUCAUUUUUCUCUCGGGAAUUAACAGAUGAUGUGAACAAUGAAGCAUCAUUUCAUAAUGACAAAUUCCUUUCAAAGAAUGGGCAACCCAGAGAAUUCUUCUUAUCCAGCGAUGCUAAUGCUGUAGUUGAACACACAAAAAAGGUUUUGGUAAUUUAGGAUGGUGAAGUUGUUCAUCUUAAGGGGAAGGAGGCACUGGUGGAUCACUUUGAGAAGUCAACGUUUCGGUGUGAUACGAAUGAGUUCCUGCUCGUGUGUUUCAGCCCAGCAAGAGAUGGUUCUGGU